GAAGUACUCCCUCCGUCCGAAAAUACUUGUUCUAAAAAUAAAUAAAAUGGAUGUAUCUAUAACUAAAAUAAAUCUAGAUGCAUGCAUUUUUAGGACAAGUAUUUUUGGACGGAGGGAGUACCUU
rnacentral:pre_miRNA from 1 species